rnacentral:rRNA from 1 species
GACGUAGGGCGCGAGCGUUGUCCGGAAUUAUUGGGCGUAAAGGGCGCGUAGGCGGUGCGGUAAGUCUGCGGUGAAAUCUCCCGGCUCAACUGGGAGGCUGCAGUGGAAACUGCCGUGCUUGAGUGUGGGAGAGGUGAGUGGAAUUCCCGGUGUAGCGGUGAAAUGCGUAGAUAUCCGACGGAACACCGGUGGUGAAGGCGAUUCCCUGGACCGAGGCCGACGCUGAGGCGCGAGGGCGUGGGGAGCGAACCGG